UACGUAGGGUGCAAGCGUUAAUCGGAAUUACUGGGCGUAAAGCGUGCGCAGGCGGUUUUGUAAGUCUGACGUGAAAUCCCCGGGCUUAACCUGGGAACUGCAUUGGUGACUGCAUCGCUCGAGUAUGGCAGAGGGGGGUAGAAUUCCACGUGUAGCAGUGAAAUGCGUAGAGAUGUGGAGGAAUACCGAUGGCGAAGGCAGCCCCCUGGGUCAAUACUGACGCUCAUGCACGAAAGCGUGGGGAGCAAACAGG
rnacentral:rRNA from 1 species